rnacentral:rRNA from 1 species
UACGGGAGGCAGCAGUGGGGAAUAUUGCACAAUGGGCGAAAGCCUGAUGCAGAGACGCCGCGUGAGGGAAGACGGCCUUCGGGUUGUAAACCUCUUUCAGUAGGGAAGAAGGGAAAGUGACGGUACCUGCAGAAGAAACGCCGGCUAAAUACGUGCCAGCCGCCGCGGUAAUUACGUAGGGGGCCAGCGUUAUCUGGAAUUAUUGGGGGUAAAAAGGUGGUAGGGGGUUUGUCGAGUUUGCCGUGAAAAUCCGGGGGUCAACUCCGGAAAUGCGGUGGGUAAGGGCAGACUUGAGUGAUGUAAGGAGACUGGAAUUCCUGGUGUAACCGUGAAAUGCGCUAAUAACAGGAAGAACCCCGAUGGCGAAAACAGCUCUCCGGGCGUUAACUGACGCUGAAGAGGGAAAGCAUGGGGAGCGAACCGGGUUAGAUUCCCCGGUAGUUCAUGCCGUUAACGUUGGGCACUAGGUGUGGGGGACAUUCCACGCUUUCCGUGCCGUAGCUAACGCAUUA